rnacentral:rRNA from 1 species
UACGGAGGGUGCAAGCGUUCUCCGGAUUCACUGGGUUUAAAGGGUGCGUAGGCGGGUUUUUAAGUCAGCGGUGAAAGCUCCGAGCUUAACUCGGAAAUUGCCGUUGAUACUAUUAAUCUUGAAUUUAGUUGAGGUGGGCGGAAUGUGUAGUGUAGCGGUGAAAUGCUUAGAUAUUACACAGAACACCUAUUGCGAAGGCAGCUCGCUAAACUAAUAUUGACGCUGAGGCACGAAAGCGUGGGGAUCAAACAGG